CCACUUCGGUGGGGAUUAGUGGCGAACGGGUGAGUAACACGUGGGCAAUCUGCCCUUCACUCUGGGACAAGCCCUGGAAACGGGGUCUAAUACCGGAUACUGACCCUUGCAGGCAUCUGCGAGGUUCGAAAGCUCCGGCGGUGAAGGAUGAGCCCGCGGCCUAUCAGCUUGUUGGUGAGGUAAUGGCUCACCAAGGCGACGACGGGUAGCCGGCCUGAGAGGGCGACCGGCCACACUGGGACUGAGACACGGCCCAGACUCCUACGGGAGGCAGCAGUGGGGAAUAUUGCACAAUGGGCGAAAGCCUGAUGCAGCGACGCCGCGUGAGGGAUGACGGCCUUCGGGUUGUAAACCUCUUUCAGCAGGGAAGAAGCGAAAGUGACGGUACCUGCAGAAGAAGCGCCGGCUAACUACGUGCCAGCAGCCGCGGUAAUACGUAGGGCGCAAGCGUUGUCCGGAAUUAUUGGGCGUAAAGAGCUCGUAGGCGGCUUGUCACGUCGGUUGUGAAAGCCCGGGGCUUAACCCCGGGUCUGCAGUCGAUACGGGCAGGCUAGAGUUCGGUAG
rnacentral:rRNA from 1 species